rnacentral:rRNA from 1 species
UACGUAGGGUGCAAGCGUUAAUCGGAAUUACUGGGCGUAAAGGGCGCGUAGGCGGCCAACUAAGUCAGACGUGAAAUCCCCAGGCUCAACCUGGGAACUGCGUCUGAUACUGGAUGGCUCGAGUUCGGGAGAGGGAAGCGGAAUUCCAGGUGUAGCGGUGAAAUGCGUAGAUAUCUGGAGGAACACCGGUGGCGAAGGCGGCUUCCUGGACCGACACUGACGCUGAGGCGCGAAAGCUAGGGGAGCAAACGGG